CUACGGGGGGCAGCAGUGAGGAAUAUUGGACAAUGGGCGCAAGCCUGAUCCAGCCAUGCCGCGUGCAGGAAGACGGUCCUAUGGAUUGUAAACUGCUUUUGUGCAGGAAGAAACACUCGUACGUGUACGAGCUUGACGGUACUGUAAGAAUAAGGAUCGGCUAACUCCGUGCCAGCAGCCGCGGUAAUACGGAGGAUCCAAGCGUUAUCCGGAAUCAUUGGGUUUAAAGGGUCCGUAGGCGGAUUUAUAAGUCAGUGGUGAAAUCUCCCCGCUCAACGGGGAAACUGCCAUUGAUACUGUAGAUCUUGAAUGAUUAGGAAGUAACUAGAAUAUGUAGUGUAGCGGUGAAAUGCUUAGAUAUUACAUGGAAUACCAAUUGCGAAGGCAGGUUACUACUAAUUUAUUGACGCUGAUGGACGAAAGCGUGGGGAGCGAACAGGAUUAGAUACCCUGGUAGUC
rnacentral:rRNA from 1 species